rnacentral:lncRNA from 1 species
CAGCUAUGAUCAUGACACUGCACUCCAGCCCAGGUAAUGGAGAGAGACACUGUCUCUAAAAAAAGUUUAAAGAUGUAAAACGAUAUCAAAGUACAUAAUACAAAGGACAUAACUUAAAAUGUUGAAAGUGGUAACAAGAUUUAUAAAUGAAACAGAGUCACCUGUACCACUCUCUAUUCCUACUUUGAGGGACAAACACUUUCAACUGAUUCUUUUCCUGGUAUUUUCCUUCACUUUUCUGUGUCCCUGGUUCUCAAAGUGGGGUCUCUAGAAUUUGGGAGAAAUGCAAAUUCUUAGACCCCACCCCAGAUAUACCGAAUCAGACUAUGAGGGUGGAGCCCAGCAGCCAAUGUUUAAACAAACCUGUCUCCAGAGAUUCUGCCUCACGACCCCCCAAAGUUCUGACUGUUCUGGGUGAGGUGUUUAUACAAUGACUUCCUCCUAUGGACUGUGAAGGCUUACCUUUCUUCCACCCUCUCCCCAGCCCCACAAUCCUGCCUUCUUAUCUUUUCAGCACAGCUAUAUGACCAAUUUUGAUGAUGUUAAAAUUCAGUGUUUGUUGUAAUUAUGUAAAUAUUUUCACAACUAUCAGUAUAUUUCAUGUUUUAUGUAACUUUUAUUUUCCCUGGACUGAAUAACUGCCUCAUUUUUUUGUUGUCGUGAUGGCUUAGUGGGUUUGUUGUUGUUGUUUUUUAGAAACGAAGUCUCAGUAUGUUGCCCAAGCUGGUCUUGAACUCCCGGUCUUAAGCGAUCUCCUUGCCUCAGCCUCCCGAGUACUUCUCAGUUUUCUAUACAAAUCUCUCAUCUAUCCCUAACCUCUCAGUUUACCUGUUCUGGUCUUUCCUCACAUAUCUGACAAUCGUUAGCUCUCUUUGUAUUUCAAAGAAAAGCUCUGGAAUGUGUCUGGGACCUGUGUAUAUAUGGGCAAAACUCAUCAACGAAUGGGCUCCCUGGUGAUUAUUUGGCAGAUUCCUGGCAAUUUCAUCAGAGGAUCCAAAAAUUGGAGAAACUCCAAGAUGAACCCCAAAGAUCUCCAUCUCCAGCUGUUCACACUCCUAUGUAAUCUCUAGCCCUUGGGUGUGGAAAGGACUUGUGACUUACUUUAACCAACAACAGAAUAUAGCAAAGGUAAAAGGAUGUUAUUUCUGUGAUUAGACUAUACAAGAUUGUGACUUCUGUCUUGCUAGCAGACUCUACUGCUUUCUCAGUUUGCAUGCUAGAAUAAAGUAAGGAACUACUUUGGAGAGGCCCACAUGGUAAGGACUGAGGGCAGCUUCUUGGCAAUCACCAGCUAGGAACUGAGUUCCUUAGUCUAACAGGUCUUCAGAUCCUGAAUCCUGCCAAGAGCUCUGGCUGGUGCCUCUCCUUCCAUUGAGCCUUCAGAUGAAAACCUGGCCUUUGCCAAUAUUUGACUGUAGCCUGUGAGAGACCCUGAAGCAGAGAACCCAGCUCAGCUACAUCCAGAUUCCUGAGCCACAGAAAAUGAGAUUAUAAGUGUGUAUUGUUUGAAGCUGCUAAGUUUUGUGGUAAGUUGUUGCACAGAAGUAGACAAUUAAUACAAUUAUGUUUAUGUGAUUCAUCUAUACUG